UUCGCAAUGCCCGAAAGGGUGACGAAGCGACGCCGCGUGAGCGAAGAAGGCCCUAGGGUUGUAAAGCUCUGUCAGGGGUUAUGAAAUGCAGGCUGGCUAAUACCUGGCCUGUUUGACAAAGGCCCCAAAGGAAGCCACGGCUAACUCUGUGCCAGCAGCCGCGGUAAUACAGAGGUGGCAAGCGUUGUUCGGUAUUAUUGGGCGUAAAGAGCACGUAGGUGGUUUUGUAAGUCAGAUGUGAAAGCCUUCUGUUCAAAGGAAGAACGGCAUCUGAAACUGCAGAUCUUGAGUGUAGGAGGGGAGAGUGGAACUUCUGGUGGAGCGGUGAAAUGCGUAGAUAUCAGAAGGAACGUCGGCGGCGAAAGCGACUCUCUGGCCUAUUACUGACACUGAGUGUGCGAAAGUUAGGGGAGCAAACGGGAUUAGAUACCCCGGUAGUCCUAACUGUAAACGAUGGGCACUAAGUAGAGGGGUUUU
rnacentral:rRNA from 1 species